UACGUAGGGGGCAAGCGUUAUCCGGAUUUACUGGGUGUAAAGGGAGCGUAGACGGUUACGCAAGUCUGGAGUGAAAGGCGGGGGCCCAACCCCCGGACUGCUUUGGAAACUGUAUAACUGGAGUGCAGGAGAGGUAAGUGGAAUUCCUAGUGUAGCGGUGGAAUGCGUAGAUAUUGGGAAGAACACCAGCGGCGAAGGCGAUUCACUGGACUGUAACUGACACUGAGGCACGAAAGCGUGGGGAGCAAACAGG
rnacentral:rRNA from 1 species